GUAGGUGGCAAGCGUUGUCCGGAAUUAUUGGGCGUAAAGCGCGCGCAGGCGGUUCUUUAAGUCUGAUGUGAAAGCCCACGGCUCAACCGUGGAGGGUCAUUGGAAACUGGAGAACUUGAGUACAGAAGAGGUAAGCGGAAUUCCACGUGUAGCGGUGAAAUGCGUAGAGAUGUGGAGGAACACCAGUGGCGAAGGCGGCUUUCUGGUCUGUAACUGACGCUGAGGCGCGAAAGCGUGGGGAGCAAACAGGGAUUAGAUACCCUGGUAGUCCACGCCGUAAACGAUGAGUGCUAAGUGUUAGGGGGGUUUCCGCCCCCUUAGUGCUGCAGCUAACGCAUUAAGCACUCCGCCUGGGGAGUACGGCCGCAAGGCUG
rnacentral:rRNA from 1 species